UACGAAGGGGGCUAGCGUUGCUCGGAAUGACUGGGCGUAAAGGGCGCGUAGGCGGUUUGGUCAGUUAGACGUGAAAUUCCUGGGCUCAACCUGGGGACUGCGUUUAAGACGGCCAGACUUGAGUGUGGAAGAGGGUCGUGGAAUUCCCAGUGUAGAGGUGAAAUUCGUAGAUAUUGGGAAGAACACCGGUGGCGAAGGCGGCGACCUGGUCCAUAACUGACGCUGAGGCGCGAAAGCGUGGGGAGCAAACAGG
rnacentral:rRNA from 1 species